ACACUUACCUGGCAGGGGAGAUCCCAUGAUCACGAAGGUGGUUUUUCCAGGGUGAGACUUCUCCAUUACACUCGGAAUGAGCUGAUCCCUGCGAUUUCCCCAAAUGUGGGAAACUCGACUGCAUAAUUUGAGGCAGCAGGGGAUUGCAUUCACGCUUUCCCCUG
ensembl:snRNA U1 U1 spliceosomal RNA